rnacentral:rRNA from 1 species
UACAGAGGGUGCGAGCGUUGUCCGGAAUUAUUGGGCGUAAAGAGCGUGUAGGCGGCUCGGUAAGUCAGGUGUGAAACCUCCAGGCUCAACCUGGAGACGCCACCUGAUACUGCCGUGGCUAGAGUCCGGUAGAGGAGCGUAGAAUUCCUGGUGUAGCGGUGAAAUGCGCAGAUAUCAGGAGGAAUACCAGCGGCGAAGGCGGCGCUCUGGGCCGGUACUGACGCUGAGGAGCGAAAGCGUGGGGAGCAAACAGG